CCGCCGAACCUGUUCGGAGGCUGCCACUGUUCUGGUUCAGCCGUUCCUCUUUUGGUUCGAGUUGUUGAGAUUGUUGCGAAAGUGGCUUGGAACCGAGGUUUUGGCUGCCGGGAUUUUGAUUGUUGAUUUCGGGUCGAGGCGGAAAGGAUUAUGUGAUGCGUUUGGGCUAUGCUUUUGCGUUUUGAGGAUAUGGCGCAGAAGGUAUGAAGAGUUCAUUUAGUUGUUAUUGAGAUGCUCUGUAUUGCUUUAGUAUAUUUUUGUUCCCUCGCCUUUAUCUUGAUACAUUCUGUAAGAGGGAUAGGAAU